AGCAGCCGCGGUAAUUCCAGCUCCAAUAGCGUAUAUUAAAGUUGUUGCAGUUAAAAAGCUCGUAGUUGAACUUCGGGGUUCACCCAUUGGUCAGGCUUAAUUGUCUGUACUGGUGAGAUGAAUCUCUACCUUCUGAGGAACUUUCAUGCCAUUUAUUUGGUGUGAUGGGAAAUCAGGGCUGUUACUUUGAAAAAUUAGAGUGUUUAAAGCAGGCUAACGUCUGAAUACAUUAGCAUGGAAUAAUGAAAUAGGACGGAUUGAUUCUAUUUCGUUGGUUUCUAGGGUCACCGUAAUGAUUAAUAGGGAUAGUUGGGGGCAUUAGUAUUCAAUUGUCAGAGGUGAAAUUCUUGGAUUUAUUGAAGACUAACUACUGA
rnacentral:misc_RNA from 1 species